GAAACCUCUUUGGAGUUU
rnacentral:snRNA from 1 species